rnacentral:lncRNA from 1 species
AUUAACCAUUUACUAACCCGAUAUUAACCCGUUACUAACCCGUUACUAACCCGAUAUUAACCAUUUACUAACCCGUUCCUAACCCGAUAUUAACCAUUUACUAACCAUUUACUAACCCGAUAUUAACCCGUUACUAACCCGAUAUUAACCAUUUACUAACCCGUUACUAACCCGAUAUUAACCAUUUACUAACCCGAUAUUAACCCGUUCCUAACCCGAUAUUAACCCGUUACUAACCCGAUAUUAACCAUUUACUAACCCGUUACUAACCCGAUAUUAACCAUUUACUAACCCGAUAUUAACCCGUUACUAACCCGUUAUUAACCCAUUACUAACCCGUUACUAACCCGUUCCUAACCCGUUCCUAACCCGGAAUUAACAACCCAAAGCCGCCACAGAAAUCCCGGGUUAUUUUUUCCCAGGGGCGGGGCCGGGGGCGGGGCCAGGCAGGGGCGGCACCAUUUAACUUAAUUAAAUAAUUAACAGCAAGAGUGACUCGGGAAUUGAGCACAUUCCAGAGAAAACGUGGAGAGCGGCGGGACAGAGACAGGGAAGUCACAGCGGGACCCUGCACGGUCAUUAACACGAUUAAUUAAUUAAUUAAUUAACAUGACAAUUAAUCAACACGAUUAAUUAACCACUGGCAGCGAUUGGAGGUGGAUCUGGGAAUACACCGGGAUAAGGGCAGCUCCAAAUCCAUUUCCCGGGAUGGGACAGGGAUGGGACAGGGACAGGGAUGGGACAGGGACAGGGAUGGGACAGGGACAGGGACAGGACAGAGAUGGGGUCACAGCCAGACCCUACACAAUCAUUAACACAAUUAAUUAACCACUGGUACUGAUUGGAGGUGGAUUUGGGAAUACACCGGGAUAAGGGCAGCUCUGAAUCCAUUUCCUGGGAUGGAACUGGGACAGGGAUGGGACAGGGACAGGGACAGGGAUGGGGUCACAGGGGUCACAGCCAGACCCUACACGAUCAUUAACACAAUUAAUUAACCACUGGUACUAAUUGGAGGUGGAUUUGGGAAUACACCGGGAUUAGGGUGGCUCCGAA